rnacentral:rRNA from 1 species
GACGAACGCUGGCGGCGUGCUUAACACAUGCAAGUCGAACGGAAAGGCCCUGCUUUUGUGGGUGCCCGGGGGGCGAACGGGUGAGUAACACGGGAGUAACCUGCCCCUGGCUUUGGGAUUACUUCAGGAAACUGGGGCUAAUACCGGAUAGGAGCUCCUGCUGCCAGGGGGGGGGUGGGAAGUUUCGGCGGUUGGGGAUGGACUCGCGGCUUAUCAGCUUGUUGGUGGGGUAGUGGCUUACCAAGGCUUUGACGGGUAGCCGGCCUGAGAGGGUGACCGGCCACAUUGGGACUGAGAUACGGCCCAGACUCCUACGGGAGGCAGCAGUGGGGAAUAUUGCACAAUGGGCGGAAGCCUGAUGCAGCAACGCCGCGUGCGGGAUGACGGCCUUCGGGUUGUAAACCGCUUUCGCCUGUGACGAAGCGUGAGUGACGGUAAUGGGUAAAGAAGCACCGGCUAACUACGUG